UACGGGGGGAGCAAGCGUUGUUCGGAUUUACUGGGCGUAAAGGGCGCGUAGGCGGCGCAACAAGUCACUUGUGAAAUCUCCGGGCUUAACCCGGAGCGGCCAAGUGAUACUGUCGUGCUAGAGUGCGGAAGGGGCUACUGGAAUUCUCGGUGUAGCGGUGAAAUGCGUAGAUAUCGAGAGGAACACCUGCGGCGAAGGCGGGUUGCUGGGCUGACACUGACGCUGAUGUGCGAAAGCUAGGGGAGCGAACGGG
rnacentral:rRNA from 1 species